CUCCCUCCCAGAGAGACACUCUAGUGAGAGACUGUGAGUUUGGCAGGUCCAGACUAGGGUAGCACUGGGAAGCUGGCUAAAGCACAAAUCCAGAUGUCCAUGGAGCAGGAAAGUGUGAAACAGGAAAAGUGAUCUAGCAUCUUGAGGAGCCAUGCCAACCACCAAACCAGUGAUUCUCAAGGUAUGGAAUACAGCCAACUGGUAGGGCCACAAGCAUCCUCUGAUGUUCCACAUACUCAUCCAAGCCCUUCAGAAUACACACCAUAUAGCUCCCGAGUUGGAAUGGUGAUGUCUCCAUGAGGGAACCUCCUCUCACUCAUCGUGUCAUGCGUAUCAUACUGUUCUUCACUGGGCCAUUCAUCUAAAAUGGGAUUUACCCUGUGAAUCAGGGAGAAGACUUGUGGACCCCAAACAGCAUUUCAAGUUGUAGUUGCGUUUUUUAAAGUAUAGACAUAGAUGCAAAACUCCUUUGCUUUGGACCCUCUGCUUUGUUAAGGCUGCUGUGUUGCAAACCCAGAAUUGCUCCAGUGUACUGACUGGUCAUCAUGGCUUCAGUUUGGAAGAGACUGCAGCGUGUAGGAAAACAUGCAUCUAAGUUCCAGUUUGUGGCUUCCUACCAAGAACUGAUGGUGGAGUGUACCAAGAAAUGAUGUAGUCUAUGAGCAAAUUCAAAGUCCUUUACCCUUGAUCAAAGGAAGGAUGCUACAGGAGUUUCUGGAUGCCUGUGUGUUUGGAACACAGUAAAUGGGGGAAAAUGGUAAGAGGAUAGGUCUGAGAGGUAGGUGGGUAUUAGAUGAUAUAUGGUUUUGAGGUCAUGUUAAGGGCCUUUAGAUUUUUUUUUUAAGAUUUACCUAUUUAUACAAGAGCUGGGGUACAGGCCAGAGGCGCGGGAGGGUGAGAAGAUUCACCAGAAACAGAGCGGGUAGCAGAACAGGCAGACAGACCGAAAGCAUUGCUGAGAGGAGCAGCGGGUGAGACAGGAGAGGUCUACUUUGCCAUGUGGGUAUCCCCCUGGCCAGCUGGAAAUCGAACCCACACUGCAGAGGCUGAGGACAGCUCCACAGUUCUGCGCCACGGGGGAAGGGGUUUUUAGAUUUUAAGUAUGGUGGGAAACCAGUAGAGAGAUUUGAGCCCGGAAGUAAUAUAACAUGAUUCACAUUUUAGAAAGAUUCUUUUGUAUACUUUGUGGAAUAUGAGCUGUUGUAGAUAAAAACAGAAGCAGGUAUAUCAGUUAGGAGGCUUUGUGGUAGUCCGAGCAGCAAAAUGGUAGUGGUGGAGGUGGUGACAAAUGGUCAGAUGUAUGUGAGUAACACACAUGCUGCCUUCACACUUUAUGGAGGUAUAAUUCAAUGAAAUGCAUUAAUACAAUGAAAUGCAUUCAUUUUACACAUACAGUUCAGUAAGUUUGACAUUGUAUUUAUUAAUGUAACUGGAACUUUUUUGAAGGUGUGGUUGAUGGUACUUAAUGAUGAAUUAUAGUAGGAUGUAAAGUGAGAGAUAUAGCAAUAAAGACUAUAUAGGCUUUUGGCCCGAGUAACCAGGUGAAUAUAAUAUUAAUUACAGAGAUGGGGAACACACUUGAGGAGGAAAAUGUUUAGUGAGAAGGAGAAAUCGAGAAUUGUGCUUUCCCUAAAGUUUAGAACAUCCAGAUGGAGAUCUUAAUUAAGCAGUUAAUUAUGAAUUUUGAGUUCAGGGGAGAGAAAAGACUGGAGUCUUGUAGUAUAUAGAUAGUAUUUAAAGUUGUGGGGCCAAAGAUUUUCUAUGGUGUUCAUAUAGAUUAAGAGGACUGAAGAAUGAGCCUUAGGACAGUUCAACACAUAGAGGGAGAGAAGAAAAAGAAAGGCAAGCAAAGGUGACUACUGAAAGCAAGCAGUAGUAGGUAGGAGGAAAAUUAGGAGAGUGUGCUUUCUAAGAAAUCAAAUGCAAAAUACAUCAGGAAGGAAGUAUGCAGCUAUGUCAAAUAGUGAGCUGUUGAGCAAGAUUGGAUUUGGCAAAGUAUAAAUUACUAAGGAAUGAUUUCAGUGGAGAGGAGUAAAAGUGUGAUUAAACUGGUGUAAAGCAACCAACCCAUUCCGGGCAGGUUUAUGAACGGUUCUAGCAGCCACAUGCUCUUCGCCGUGGUUUGUGGUCGCCGUUCUCCUCCGUACACUCCACUCCUCCACCCUUAACACCGCACUCCCACCACCCCGCACUCUGCUGCACCACCCUUAUAAAUCAGUCUCUCAGCUCACCCCACCUACGCAUGCCCACACCCUACUCCAGGUGCCCGCCAUCAGGCAUGCACUCAGGACCGCAGGGUUCCGUCAUCCAUCCUAAUGGCGGGAGGGCAGAAGAACCUGAUACCUCUUACCUUACCCUACAGUCCACCCCCUCAGGGUUUUCUGCCAUACAGUCCACAUAUAUGUACAAUUUUCUUAGCAAACAUAAACAAUGCAGCCAUGGCCCACAAAAGCAAAUGAAAUACAUCACAAAAUGACUAAACUCAAUU